AAUGAUCGAUUUUGCAGAGCAGACCUCUAAUGGCGGAACGACGCACACCUCAUUUGUAAACAAGCGUUAUCUAGUAAAAUCAUCGAGAAAGAAGUGUCAUUCAGAAGUUCUCAGGUAAAAAUUUAAAUCAAUAAUUGUUAGAUUUGUGUAUGUAUUGUGAAUUUUCAAGAUAAAAUGUGCAUUUUUGACUCAAGAGUUUUUUAUUUUUUUAUUCCCAGUUAACAUUUCGUGCGAGAUGCGCGCGCAUUGGGUUUAAGUUAGUUGAAGAUUGCAGCGCCACUACACGGUGAAAUAUGCAAUACACUUCCUACGAUUCCCGAACGUAAUCGAUAUUUUUCACGAUCGAUUUUUAAGCGGCAGAGCAGUCCUUUAAUGGCGGAACGAAGCACACCUCAUCUGCAAAGAAGCGUUAUCCAGAAAAGUCUCAGAGAAAGAAGUGUCAUUCAGAAGUUCUCAGAAAAUUUUUGUGACCGCGCGCAAUGCGGUUGGCAGAGUCAGUGUUUGUUGCAUAAUAUUUUAAUAUUUUUCUGAGCAAAGUGGCUCCUAUUAAACUGAAUUAUCAAUUCAUUUACAUUAUAAUUCGCGAAGUUAGAAUCAGUGAGUUUGUCGGUUGUUACUUAAACGUGCGCGUUGAUAGUCUUUUAUUUUUAUUUUUUUUCAUAUUUCUUCUUAG